rnacentral:rRNA from 1 species
GUUAUAUGGUCAAGUGAAGAAGCGCAUACGGUGGAUGCCUUGGCAGUCAGAGGCGAUGAAAGACGUGGUAGCCUGCGAAAAGCUUCGGGGAGUCGGCAAACAGACUGUGAUCCGGAGAUGUCUGAAUGGGGGAACCCAGCCAUCAUAAGAUGGUUAUCUUGUACUGAAUACAUAGGUGCAAGAGGCGAACCAGGGGAACUGAAACAUCUAAGUACCCUGAGGAAAAGAAAUCAACCGAGAUUCCCUUAGUAGUGGCGAGCGAACGGGGACCAGCCCUUAAGUUGUAUUGAGAUUAGCGGAACGUUCUGGAAAGGACGGCCAUAGUGGGUGAUAGCCCUGUACGCGAAAAUCCCUUUGCAAUGAAAUCGAGUAGGACGGGGCACGAGAAACCUUGUCUGAAUAUGGGGGGACCAUCCUCCAAGGCUAAAUACUACUGACUGACCGAUAGUGAACCAGUACCGUGAGGGAAAGGCGAAAAGAACCGCGGAGAGCGGAGUGAAAUAGAUCCUGAAACCGUAUGCGUACAAGCAGUGGGAGCCCACUUUGUUGGGUGACUGCGUACCUUUUGUAUAAUGGGUCAGCGACUUAUUUUCAGUGGCGAGCUUAACCGAAUAGGGGAGGCGUAGCGAAAGCGAGUCUUAAUAGGGCGUCUAGUCGCUGGGAAUAGACCCGAAACCGGGCGAUCUAUCCAUGGGCAGGUUGAAGGUUGGGUAACACUAACUGGAGGACCGAACCGACUACCGUUGAAAAGUUAGCGGAUGACCUGUGGAUCGGAGUGAAAGGCUAAUCAAGCUCGGAGAUAGCUGGUUCUCCUCGAAAGCUAUUUAGGUAGCGCCUCAUGUAUCACUGUAGGGGGUAGAGCACUGUUUCGGCUAGGGGGUCAUCCCGACUUACCAAACCGAUGCAAACUCCGAAUACCUACAAGUGCCGAGCAUGGGAGACACACGGCGGGUGCUAACGUCCGUCGUGAAAAGGGAAACAACCCAGACCGUCAGCUAAGGUCCCAAAGUCAUGGUUAAGUGGGAAACGAUGUGGGAAGGCUUAGACAGCUAGGAGGUUGGCUUAGAAGCAGCCACCCUUUAAAGAAAGCGUAAUAGCUCACUAGUCGAGUCGGCCUGCGCGGAAGAUGUAACGGGGCUCAAACCAUGCACCGAAGCUACGGGUAUCAUCUUAGGAUGAUGCGGUAGAGGAGCGUUCUGUAAGCCUGUGAAGGUGAGUUGAGAAGCUUGCUGGAGGUAUCAGAAGUGCGAAUGCUGACAUGAGUAACGACAAUGGGUGUGAAAAACACCCACGCCGAAAGACCAAGGUUUCCUGCGCAACGUUAAUCGACGCAGGGUUAGUCGGUCCCUAAGGCGAGGCUGAAAAGCGUAGUCGAUGGAAAACAGGUUAAUAUUCCUGUACUUCUGGUUAUUGCGAUGGAGGGACGGAGAAGGCUAGGCCAGCCUGGCGUUGGUUGUCCAGGUUUAAGGUGGUAGGCUGAGAUCUUAGGUAAAUCCGGGAUCUUAAGGCCGAGAGCUGAUGACGAGUGUUCUUUAUAGAACACGAAGUGGUUGAUGCCAUGCUUCCAAGAAAAGCUUCUAAGCUUCAGGUAACCAGGAACCGUACCCCAAACCGACACAGGUGGUUGGGUAGAGAAUACCAAGGCGCUUGAGAGAACUCGGGUGAAGGAACUAGGCAAAAUGGCACCGUAACUUCGGGAGAAGGUGCGCCGGUGGAGGUGAAGCAUUUACUGCGUAAGCCCCUGCCGGUCGAAGAUACCAGGCCGCUGCGACUGUUUAUUAAAAACACAGCACUCUGCAAACACGAAAGUGGACGUAUAGGGUGUGACGCCUGCCCGGUGCCGGAAGGUUAAUUGAUGGGGUUAGCGCAAGCGAAGCUCUUGAUCGAAGCCCCGGUAAACGGCGGCCGUAACUAUAACGGUCCUAAGGUAGCGAAAUUCCUUGUCGGGUAAGUUCCGACCUGCACGAAUGGCGUAACGAUGGCGGCGCUGUCUCCACCCGAGACUCAGUGAAAUUGAAAUCGCUGUGAAGAUGCAGUGUAUCCGCGGCUAGACGGAAAGACCCCGUGAACCUUUACUAUAGCUUUGCACUGGACUUUGAAUUUGCUUGUGUAGGAUAGGUGGGAGGCUUUGAAGCGUGGACGCCAGUCUGCGUGGAGCCAACCUUGAAAUACCACCCUGGCAACUUUGAGGUUCUAACUCAGGUCCGUUAUCCGGAUCGAGGACAGUGUAUGGUGGGUAGUUUGACUGGGGCGGUCUCCUCCUAAAGAGUAACGGAGGAGUACGAAGGUGCGCUCAGACCGGUCGGAAAUCGGUCGUAGAGUAUAAAGGCAAAAGCGCGCUUGACUGCGAGACAGACACGUCGAGCAGGUACGAAAGUAGGUCUUAGUGAUCCGGUGGUUCUGUAUGGAAGGGCCAUCGCUCAACGGAUAAAAGGUACUCCGGGGAUAACAGGCUGAUACCGCCCAAGAGUUCAUAUCGACGGCGGUGUUUGGCACCUCGAUGUCGGCUCAUCACAUCCUGGGGCUGAAGCCGGUCCCAAGGGUAUGGCUGUUCGCCAUUUAAAGUGGUACGCGAGCUGGGUUUAGAACGUCGUGAGACAGUUCGGUCCCUAUCUGCCGUGGACGUUUGAGAUUUGAGAGGGGCUGCUCCUAGUACGAGAGGACCGGAGUGGACGAACCUCUGGUGUUCCGGUUGUCACGCCAGUGGCAUUGCCGGGUAGCUAUGUUCGGAAAAGAUAACCGCUGAAAGCAUCUAAGCGGGAAACUUGCCUCAAGAUGAGAUCUCACUGGAACCUUGAGUUCCCUAAAGGGCCGUCGAAGACUACGACGUUGAUAGGUUGGGUGUGUAAGCGCUGUGAGGCGUUGAGCUAACCAAUACUAAUUGCCCGUGAGGCUUGACCAUAUAACACCCAAGCAAUU